CGCCACAACGGCUUCCUGACGUGGCGCACAGACUUAACGGAGCA
rnacentral:ncRNA from 1 species